rnacentral:rRNA from 1 species
GGUGCUCGGAGCCAGAACACAGGUGCUGCAUGGCUGUCGUCAGCUCGUGUCGUGAGAUGUUGGUUAAGUCCCGCAACGAGCGCAACCCUUGUCAUUAGUUGCCAUCAUUUAGUUGGGCACUCUAAUGAGACUGGCCGGUAGGACAAACCGGAGGAAGGUGGGGAUGACGUCAAGUCCUCAUCGGCCCUUAUGGUAGGGCUUCACACGUCAUACAAUGGUCGGUACAGAGGGUUGCCAAGCCGCGAGGUGGAGCCAAUCCCUUAAAGCCGAUCGUAGUCCGGAUCGUAGUCUGCAACUCGACUACGUGAAGUCGGAAUCGCUAGUAAUCACAGAUCAGCAUGCUGCGGUGAAUACGUUCCCGGGUCUU